rnacentral:RNase_P_RNA from 1 species
GGGGUGCACCGGGUUGCCGCGCGGCUCUGCUUUCGGGCAGAGAGUGAGGAAAGUCCGGACACCACAGGACAGAAGACCGGGUAACGCCCGGGCACGGCGAAUGCGCUGUGACGGAAAGUGCAACAGAAAAGAUACCGCCAGCAUUUGCUGGUAAGGGUGAAAUGGUGAGGUAAGAGCUCACCGCGCGGAUUGUAAAAUUCGUGGCAUGGCAAACCCUCUUUGGUGCAAUCUCGCAUAGGCAAUCGUUAAGACUGGUCCGGUCGUGAUUGCGGGUUGAGAGCAAAGAGCAGAAGAGUAAUUUUCUGCCAGGAUAAAUGGCACCCUCGACAGAAUCCGGCUUACAGGUGCAUCCCCAUC